GUGGGGAAUUUUGGACAAUGGGCGCAAGCCUGAUCCAGCCAUGCCGCGUGCAGGAUGAAGGCCUUCGGGUUGUAAACUGCUUUUGUACGGAACGAAAAGACUCUGGUUAAUACCUGGGGUCCAUGACGGUACCGUAAGAAUAAGCACCGGCUAACUACGUGCCAGCAGCCGCGGUAAUACGUAGGGUGCGAGCGUUAAUCGGAAUUACUGGGCGUAAAGCGUGCGCAGGCGGUUAUAUAAGACAGAUGUGAAAUCCCCGGGCUCAACCUGGGAACUGCAUUUGUGACUGUAUAGCUAGAGUACGGUAGAGGGGGAUGGAAUUCCGCGUGUAGCAGUGAAAUGCGUAGAUAUGCGGAGGAACACCGAUGGCGAAGGCAAUCCCCUGGACCUGUACUGACGCUCAUGCACGAAAGCGUGGGGAGCAAACAGGAUUAGAAACCCUUGUAGUCC
rnacentral:rRNA from 1 species